GAGCACACUGGUUGUUGCUUGCUAUCAACCCGAUAAGAGAAGUGGUAUAUUUUCUGAAUUCGGUAGAUGGUGAGUGGAGCAAUUAUCCGGCUAUGAAGGAAAUUAUUGAUUUAUCAAUACAAGUGUUCCGAAGUCAACGAGACGCACAGGUAUCCCAGACUAAAUCAAACAACAUUACUUGGAUCAAAGUGCAGUGUCCGAUACAGCGAAACAGUUCAGACUGCGGAUACUUUGUUUUGAGGUUUAUGAAAGAAAUCCUUCAAAUGAAUCAAUUAGAGAUUCCAAUCACG